GACGAACGCUGGCGGCGUGCUUUACACAUGCAAGUCGAACGGUGAAGGUGGAGCUUGCUCCGCCGGAUCAGUGGCGAACGGGUGAGUAACACGUGGGCAACCUGCCCCUAACUUUGGGAUAACUACUCGAAAGAGUAGCUAAUACCGGAUACGAAGUCUGUAGGCAUCUACGGAUUUGGAAAGUUUUUCGGUUAGGGAUGGGCCCGCGGCCUAUCAGCCUGUUGGUGAGGUAGUGGCUCACCAAGGCGACGACGGGUAGCCGGCCGGAGAGGGCGAGCGGCCACAAUGGGACUGAGACACGGCCCAGACUCCUCCGGGAGGCAGCAGUGGGGAAUAUUGCGCAAUGGGCGCAAGCCUGAUGCAGCAACGCCGCGUGAGGGAUGACGGCCUUCGGGUUGUAAACCUCUUUUAGUAGGGAAGAAGCGAAAGUGACGGUACCUGCAGAAAAAGCACCGGCUAACUACGUGCCAGCAGCCGCGGUAA
rnacentral:rRNA from 1 species